ensembl:lncRNA
GUUGCGCGAGAAUCUCGACAGAAAAUACUGACAGGAAUUUAUUUUUAAAAAGUGGUUGUUCUGAGAGAUCUUAAAAUCUGUGUUUGCUUCACUAAACCUACAUUCUUCUGCAAGGCAUCUGACUUUUGUAAGGUAUGAGAUCUUCUUUGAAUCGUUUCCAUCAAUGCAUCAGUCAAUCAAUCUUCACCAACACCACACACCAUCAGCAACUCCAUUUUGUUGUUUCUUCUAAUGGAAACGGCUCUCCAUGAGAGUUCUGAUGAGUUCGAGUGAUGAACGAGGACACAGUUUGGUGAGAGGUACCAGUCCCUGGGUCCCCGUCCCCUAUCCAUACACAAUGUCCUUCGGCUCUCGCAGGCGCAUCAUGUACCGCCGGAGCGGACAGAUGAAGAAGAGGAUAUUAAGUGACUCUAUCUAACAUCCAGGACACAAUGGCGGUGAUUGAUGGAGGACAAAGUGGGAACAGCAGGACGGAGGAUGGGAGGGGGGUGUCCGUUGGGGGUCUCUGUCGAGAGCUGGUGUGCCGUCCCCGUCCGCCGUGUUUACUCACUGAUGCUCUCGACAAGACAGCCAUUGACACUCGGAUGGAUGAGUCCCGAUCUGCCGCGCAGAGCCAGAGGUUAGCGGGGCUGGAAUAUAGAGCUCCUCCACGACACGCUCUCUUCACCUAAUCUUCCGGCAAAAUAUUUAUCAUUAUCAAUUGGGGCCUGCUCUCUGACAUUAGAAUAGCACGUAUGGAUAAACCCCGGGAGGAUUAUCGAUCCGCCCGGCAGCAGCUUACACAGCCGGCCGUGAAAGACUCGGGGUCAUGCGGGACAAUAAGAAUAAAAGCAUGGUAUAUCCAGCCCUCCGCACAGGUUUAUUAAGUAAAACAAUGAACCAAAUCACA